rnacentral:lncRNA from 1 species
UGUGGAAUCUUUUUUUCUUUGAGACAGAGUCUCACUGUGUUGCCCAGGCGGGAGUGCAUGGCACAAUCUCAGGUCACCACAACCUCCACCUCCAGGGUUCAAGUGACUCUCCUGCAUUAGCCUCUUGAGUAGCAGGGAUUACAGGCACCCACGACCGUGUCUGGCUAAUUUUGUAUUUUUAGUAGAGACGGAGUUUCACCACGUUAGACAGGCUGGUUUUGAACUCCUGACCUCAGGUGAUUUGCCCACCCCCGGCCUUCCAAAGUGCUGGGAUUACAGGCAUGAGCCACUGGGGCACAAGAAUUGUUUGAGCCCGAGAUGUGGAGCCGGCUGCGGUGAGCCAAGAUCGCCCCACUGCGCUGCAGCCUUGGCCACAGAGGGAGACUCCAUCAUAAACAAACAAACAAACAAAAGUAAAGAAGAAAGGAGUCAAAGCGUGUCUACACAGAAAAGCAAUUAAACACAAUAAGCAGGAAAUGGAGAAUGAAGAACAAAAAACAAACCUGAAAAAACAAAAUAAGAACAAAAUAACAACAAAAAAAAUCAAGAAAUACAGAUAAUAUGUAACAAAAAGGCAAUGGUAAGGUCUUCUGCAUCAGUAAUAUUUCAAAUG